rnacentral:rRNA from 1 species
UACGUAGGUGGCAAGCGUUGUCCGGAAUUAUUGGGCGUAAAGCGCGCGCAGGCGGUCUCUUAAGUCUGAUGUGAAAGCCCACGGCUCAACCGUGGAGGGUCAUUGGAAACUGGGGGACUUGAGUGCAGGAGAGGGGAGCGGAAUUCCAUGUGUAGCGGUGAAAUGCGUAGAGAUAUGGAGGAACACCAGUGGCGAAGGCGGCUCUCUGGCCUGUAACUGACGCUGAGGCGCGAAAGCGUGGGGAGCGAACAGG